UUUCCGUAGGUGAACCUGCGGAAGGAUCAUUAUCGAAAUUUAGUGAUCUGGUCAUCUGAAAAGGUAGAGAGACUGUCGCUGGCUAUUCAUUUAGCAUGUGCACGUCCCCUCACUUUUUCUAGGCUAGGUCAUCUAUACCACACACACACCUGUGCACCUAUUGUAGAUCCCCUGAGAGGGAACUAUGUUUUCAUCAUAUCACACACACAUUGUAUGUCGAGAAUGUAAAAUGAAACAAUAUACAACUUUCAGCAACGGAUCUCUUGGCUCUC
rnacentral:misc_RNA from 1 species